rnacentral:rRNA from 1 species
UACAGGGGGGGGCAAGCGUUGUUCGGAAUUACUGGGCGUAAAGGGCCAGUAGGCGGCCGACUAAGUCCGACGUGAAAUCCCCAGGCUUAACCUGGGAACUGCGUCGGAUACUGGAUGGCUUGAAUUCGGGAGAGGGAUGCAGAAUUCCAGGUGUAGCGGUGAAAUGCGUAGAUAUCUGGAGGAAUACCGGUGGCGAAGGCGGCAUCCUGGACCGACAUUGACGCUGAACGGCGAAAGCUAGGGGAGCAAACGGG